CACAUUCCAUCAGUUCGGCUGGAUCAGUGACAGGUGCUGCAUGGCUGUCGUCAGCUCGUGUCGUGAGAUGUUGGGUUAAGUCCCGCAACGAGCGCAACCCUCAUCCUCAGUUGCCAUCAUUUAGUUGGGCACUCCGAGGAAACUGCCGGUGAUAAGCCGGAGGAAGGUGGGGAUGACGUCAAGUCCUCAUGGCCCUUACGCGCUGGGCUACACACGUGCUACAAUGGCAACUACAGUGGGCAGCGACCUCGCGAGGGGUAGCUAAUCUCCAAAAAGUUGUCUCAGUUCGGAUUGUUCUCUGCAACUCGAGAGCAUGAAGGCGGAAUCGCUAGUAAUCGCGGAUCAGCAUGCCGCGGUGAAUACGUUCCCAGGCCUUGUACACACCGCCCGUCACACCAUGGGAGUUGGUUUCACCCGAAGGCAGUGCUCUAACCCGCAAGGGAGGAAGCUGACCACGGUGGGAUCAGCGACUGGGGUGAAGUCGUAACAAGGUAAGCGUAGUGCU
rnacentral:rRNA from 1 species